UUGGUGGCAAUUUGUGAUUAACAGUUAUUUAAUUUGUCAGAUCUGAAAAGAAGCAGCAAGAAUAACCGGUUAUUGUACAAGUUGCCACCUUUUU
rnacentral:SRP_RNA from 1 species